AACGAACGCUGGCGGCGUGGAUAAGGCAUGCAAGUCGGACGAAUUUUCUAGCUUUUCCGGAAAAUUAGUGGCGAAAGGGUGCGUAACACGUGGGUAAUCUGCCUCAAUGACUGGGAUAACUCGUCGAAAGAUGAGCUAAUACCAGAUGUGACCACGUCUUCUUCGGGAGAUGAGGUAAAAGGACGGGGACGACUUCGGUCGCCUGUCGCAAUGAGAUGAGCCCGCGGCCUAUCAGGUAGUUGGUGAGGUAACGGCUCACCAAGCCUAUGACGGGUAGCUGGUCUGAGAGGAUGGUCAGCCACACUGGAACUGAGACACGGUCCAGACUCCUACGGGAGGCAGCAGCCGAGAAUCUUCCGCAAUGGGCGAAAGCCUGACGGAGCGACGCCGCGUGUAGGAUGAAGGCCUUCGGGUUGUAAACUACUGUCACUUGGGAAGAAACUUGUCUUGGUGAAUAAUCAGGACAAUUGACUGUACCAAGAGAGGAAGCCACGGCUAACUCUGUGCCAGCAGCCGCGGUAAGACAGAGGUGGCUAGCGUUGUUCGGAUUGAUUGGGUGUAAAGGGUGCGUAGGCGGUUUGGAAAGUCGGAUGUGAAAUCCUAUGGCUUAACCAUAGAAUUGCAUUCGAAACUUCUAGACUAGAGUGCGAGAGAGGUAAAGGGAAUUCCCGGUGUAAGGGUGAAAUCUGUAGAGAUCGGGAGGAACACCAGUAGCGAAGGCGCUUUACUGGCUCGUAACUGACGCUGAGUGCACGAAAGCAUGGGGAGCAAACGGGAUUAGAUACCCCGGUAGUCCAUGCCGUAAACGAUGUUCACUAGGUGUCGGUCUCGUUCAUUCGAGGUCGGUGCCGCAGCUAACGCAUUAAGUGAACCACCUGGGGAGUAUACUCGCAAGGGUGAAACUCAAAGGAAUUGACGGGGACCCGCACAAACGGUGGAGCAUGUGGUUUAAUACGACGAUACGCGUGGAACCUCACCCAGGCUUGACAUGUACUUGAAACCCUUAUGAAAGUAGGGGCCUCCCUUAAAAGACAGGUACACAGGUGUUGCAUGGCUGUCGUCAGCUCGUGUCGUGAGAUGUUGGGUUAAGUCCCGCAACGAGCGCAACCCCCAUUCUUAGUUGCUACGGGUAAUGCCGAGAACUCUAAGAAGACCGCCAGUGAUGAAUUGGAGGAAGGUGGGGAUGACGUCAAGUCAGUACGGCCCUUACGCCUGGGGCUACACACGUGCUACAAUGGCAGGUACAAUGGGUUGCGAAACCGCAAGGUGGAGCUAAUCCCCUAAAGCCUGCCCCAGUUCAGAUUGAAGGCUGCAACUCGCCUUCAUGAAGCCGGAAUCGUUAGUAACCCCGUAUCAGCCACGACGGGGUGAAUACGUUCCCGGGUCU
rnacentral:rRNA from 1 species